GAUGAACGCUAGCGGCAGGCUUAACACAUGCAAGUCGAGGGGCAGCAUAAAAGUAGCAAUACUUUGGUGGCGACCGGCGCACGGGUGAGUAACGCGUAUGCAACCUACCUAUCAGAGGGGAAUAACCCGGCGAAAGUCGGACUAAUACCGCAUAAAACAGGGGCACCGCAUGGUGAUAUUUGUUAAAGAGAUUCGCUGAUAGAUGGGCAUGCGUUCCAUUAGGUAGUUGGUGAGGUAACGGCUCACCAAGCCGACGAUGGAUAGGGGAACUGAGAGGGUGAUCCCCCACACUGGUACUGAGACGCGGACCAGACUCCUACGGGAGGCAGCAGUGAGGAAUAUUGGUCAAUGGGCGAGAGCUUGAACCAGCCAAGUCGCGUGAAGGAAGAAGGAUCUAUGGUUCGUAAACUUCUUUUGCAGGGGAAUAAAGUGCAGGACGUGUCCUGUUUUGUAUGUACCCUGAGAAUAAGGAUCGGCUAACUCCGUGCCAGCAGCCGCCGUAA
rnacentral:rRNA from 1 species